GCUGUAUAAGAAUUUUGCAAUGUCAACUGUGAAGUUUGAAUUGGAUAAUCUUUCUCCUGAAGGAUUCAGACAUGAGCAUGCUUCCAGCUCAGAUUUUGCUUUAACCUGCUUGACUGAACUUUCUGGUGAUUCUAGUCAAUGGGAACUUCAGCACUCCAGUUCUGUCCCUGUUGGUAUUGAGCUAGGUGAGAAAGUACAGGAAGAGAGACUGAAAAGAACAUUAUAUACAAGGU
rnacentral:lncRNA from 1 species